CACCAGACUCCUACGGGAGGCAGCAGUGGGGAAUAUUGCACAAUGGGGGGAACCCUGAUGCAGCGACGCCGCGUGGGUGAAGGAGCACCUCGGUGCGUAAAGCCCUAUCGGCAGGGAAGAAAAGCGAACAGGUUCGCCUGGACGGUACCUGACUAAGAAGCCCCGGCUAACUACGUGCCAGCAGCCGCGGUAAUACGUAGGGGGCAAGCGUUAUCCGGAUUUACUGGGUGUAAAGGGGGCGCAGACGGCGAUGCAAGCCAGGAGUGAAAGGCCGGGGCCCAACCCCGGGACUGCUCUUGGAACUGCGUGGCUGGAGUGCAGGAGGGGCAGGCGGAAUUCCUGGUGUAGCGGUGAAAUGCGUAGAUAUCAGGAGGAACACCGGUGGCGAAGGCGGCCUGCUGGACUGCAACUGACGUUGAGGCCCGAAAGCGUGGGGAGCAAACAGGAUUAGAUACCCUGGUAACA
rnacentral:rRNA from 1 species